rnacentral:rRNA from 1 species
UACGGAGGGGGCUAGCGUUGUUCGGAAUUACUGGGCGUAAAGCGCGCGUAGGCGGCUUUGUAAGUUAGAGGUGAAAGCCCGGAGCUCAACUCCGGAAUUGCCUUUAAGACUGCAUCGCUAGAAUCAUGGAGAGGUGAGUGGAAUUCCGAGUGUAGAGGUGAAAUUCGUAGAUAUCAGGAGGAACACCGGUGGCGGAAGGCGCUCAUCUGGCCCAAUACUGACGCUGGAGGCGACGAAAGCUAGGGGGAGCAAACGGG